GGAUGCGAUCAUACCUACACUAAUGCACCAAAUCUCGACAGAACUUUGAAGUUAAGCAUACUUGGGCGAGAGUAGUACUAGGAUGGGUGACCCUCCGGGAAGUCCUCGUGUUGCAUCCC